GCUUGUUUGCUGAUGAAACCACAGGCAGCUGAGUGCAGAGUGCUAACUUUUAUCCAUACAAUCACAGAGAACAAUGCAAAAAACAUACUGAAAUGCAGGCAAGAUUGCCUGCCAUAAAAGUAUUUCUGGGGACUUGCUCCAGCAGAUCUUACUGAGACAAAACUCAUGUCUACUGUGUUUUCAUUAAUGCUGUGCCAGAAAAACUGCAAAACUGGCUUCUUCCCUCAUUAUUUAGGGCUUUUUCCUUAAAUACUGUUGUAUACUGGACUCGUAAUCAACUGCGGCUGGGAAUCUUCACGAAACACACUGCUCUGAAGAAAACUCAACUCACUGCGUAGCAAUGCAUGAUGCCGAGUGUCUGGGCUGCACCUCUCAUCCACAAGCAGCAAGAACGCUUUCCGCAGAAGGGUUUAAAAUAAUUUGUAGAAGCCACUGGAGAAAAAUAUCUUCCUCUGAUGUAGACCCAAUUUCAGAAGAAUCAAGUGCAAAUAUAUCAUUCUCUCUGUAGAAACAUCUUUAGUGAGACAGAAAACGUCUCAGAUAAAAAUAAAUGAAUUUGGAAGAAGAGAUGCCAUAACCACAGCUCAGAAAGCAUUAACUGUUGGUACAGACAUCCAAAGGUGCUGCUGAAUCUUCAGACACAGCAGCAAAAUUGAUUUGAAACGGACAGCUGUAUUUUACCAUCAGCAUGGAAGACAGCAUCAGAUCACAGGACCGUACACAGUCCCCUGAAGUAUUAGUAUUACUUACACAAUACCGAUACUGCUCAGAAAUGCAACACUUGGUCAAAACCCUAAUGAAAAACUGCAUGUUUGCCAUUAAUUGGAAAAUUAA